GAUGAACGCUGGCGGCGUGCCUAAUACAUGCAAGUCGAACGAAGAUCUAGCUUGCUAGAUCUUAGUGGCGAACGGGUGAGUAAUACAUAAAUAAUCUGCCCAUUGGACUGGGAUAACUAUUGGAAACGAUAGCUAAUACCGGAUAGGUGAUUUGAAGGCAUCUUCGAAUCAUUAAAGUAGGGUCACUACACCAAUGGAUGAGUUUAUGGCGCAUUAGUUAGUUGGCGGGGUAACGGCCCACCAAGACGAUGAUGCGUAGCCGACCUGAGAGGGUGACCGGCCACACUGGGACUGAGACACGGCCCAGACUCCUACGGGAGGCAGCAGUAGGGAAUUUUCGGCAAUGGGCGCAAGCCUGACCGAGCAACGCCGCGUGAGUGAUUAAGGCCUGGUUGUAA
rnacentral:rRNA from 1 species